GGGGGUGGUGUUCACUGGGUUGGACUAGAGAACAGGGUUGGGACUGACUGGGACACGGUGGGUGUGGGGACAUGGGAAGACCUUCUUCUUUAACUGAAUCUGAAUUUGUAGGCUGAUUUCAAGUCCAAAACGAGGGGCGGGGGUGAUGACCACAGACUGAAGCGAGGCUGGGGAAGACCAGCGCGUCUACCCAGAGAGGACACAGGACAGGAGCUGCAGGGACAGUGGCAGGUCUGCUGGGCAGGAAUCCCAGACGGACGUGAGGACCACAGUGAGGGGACGGUGUCACGGGUCUGAGAUGAGGAGAGGUACCCUAGGGAAGGAGCCAGCGGCACCCACGGAGAAAAACCAGUAUCGGCCCAAAGAUCCGGUCACGUUGCCGGUAAGACCUCAAGGCUGAGGGCGGGAGGGUGUGAACAGAACGAUGCUCUAGUGCAGACUGGGCUGGGGGCACAGCAGGUGUCGGGACCACAUGCUCAAAGAAUGCGGUGCUUCCAAGAGGAUAGAGCCGGGUCGGUGUCGGUGUGGGGAACUCUUGGGAAUGUGAGGAACGGUGUUAACUGUUCAAGGUGCCAAUGGCAACCGAGAGAAGGAGAAGGUGACAGGCGGUGCCCGGGGAGUGAGGCCCGGGGAGUCUGCUGGGCUUCCACCGCAGUGGUUCUUCCCGAGGAUGGGGGGGGUGGUUUUCACCCGAGGGGGGCUGUGGGCGCGGCCCCCAAGGCAGGCCUAUCAAAACAUCUGAGGGGGAGCAGUGCUCUGCUCCAACAAGCACAAAACCAAAAAAACACAAAAAGAAACCCCCAAACCACGGCCCGAUGAUGAUGCUGAUAGGCGGUCUUGGGGGUCACGCGUCCUCGGGUGAGAAUCGCUGGGUGGAAGGGGCAGAGUGGAGGGCGGGCGGAGAGGUGAAGCUUGAGCAGAUGAGCCCCUGAGCCGGGGGUGCAUGGGGACAUCAGAGUCAGGACUGUCAGACACGGGGGAAAGGAUGUGGGACCAGGAAGACAGCGAGCAAAUGGAUGUAGCCGAGAAGGCACCUGGCCCAUUGGGGGCUGGGUGCAGAUUCACGUUCAGCGUGUAGGGAGUGGCGUGCCAAAGUGUUGUUCCCAAAGCUAGGGACGUUUCAGGACUCGGGCCGAGAGAGAGGAGAAUGGCGAUCAAAAGGAAGUUGUGUGAGCACAGAGCACGGGGCGGGCUGUCUACGCAGAAGGAAGGGGCAGGCGGGACAGGAGACCACAGGGCUGAUCAUCUGGGGGAGAGAUGCUGCCAGGGAGGCGGGAGGACCCAGGGCUCCUGCAGGUGGAGGCCGAGUGCAGUGGUGUUGGGCCAUGUGGGCAGGGGCGAGGGCGGGAGGGAGGGUGGAAGGGGAAAUGCUGUAGUGAAAGGAAAGAGGAAGGAGAGUCAGAGGACCAGGCUCCCGGAGAGCGCUGUAGGAAGAGUGUGCAACGAAGGGGUCCGAGUGGAAACAGGAAAGGUCGCAGGAGGGACGUGUGUGGGGCCCAGGCGGCCAGCAGAGUGUGGGUCCACAGGACAUGAGCAGGGGCUGGCGGGGGAGCGUGCGGGUUCAGUACCGUUAUGUCUGAAGCAGAGAUGACAGAGGUGAGUUGAGGGGGGGUGAGGGAGCGAGCAGGGAGCACACAGCAGAGAGGACGACGGAAUCCAGCUGAUGACCUACAGAGGGUAGCUAAUGUCUCACGACCUAGGACAUUUUCUUUCCUUGUAUACAGUAGAGGCACAAAGUGGGAGAGACCUGCAGUCCGGGCCCAGGCGAUGGAGGUCAGGUGAGAAGUCUUAGGGUGGGGGUGUCACCGGCAGUUAGCAUGAGGAAGGGCAGGUAUGGAGCCUUGUAAUUAGGGCAGGAGAGGCUUAUUGAGAGCUUCUGGUACCACACUGUACCAAGAGAGGGAUGGGAAAGAGCCCAAAGGAGGGACUGGACGUGGAGAAUCCAGGACCUUUGACCCCUAGACGAACUAGCCUGUGUCGAAGCCCGUGCGGGUGAAGGCACAUGAUCUGCAUCAGGCCAGCCAGGAGCCUGGGCCGGGUGGGAGGAGGCCCAGGGAGGAUGAGGGGGAGAGAGAGGGGCCUAGUGGGAAUGUCGGAGAGAGCGUGGUCCCUGCAGGGCACGGUGAGACUUAAAACGUCAGCAGGAAGCGCAGAGAAACAAGGACCUUCUGCCAGUGGCGGCCGUGACGGGGCCGCAUACUUACAGAUGAACUGGGACAGCAGAUGGAUUCAGCAGUGCGAGCUGGGGAUGAAGAAGCCAGCAAUGGAGCGAACGUGAGGUCAGGCCCGAAAGGAGCUGGUAGAUCGAGGAACAGACCGCUGCAGCCAUCCCGGGACGCCAGGCAGUGGCAGAAGUGGAAUGGGAAGCUGUAGACGUGGCGGGGCGCGUCUCAAAGACAAGAGCGGGAGCACAGGCCGAAGAUGGGCCGAGGAAGGUUCGUUCCACACCCCGUGUGGGGAGGAGACCGUGGCAUCCUGAGUGGCUCCGAGAAGGCAGUCUGUGAGAGCUCGGGGGUCAGGUGAGCAGACAGGAGGAGGAAGAUACAGCAGACGUGGAAGAGGGGGAAAGAACUUCCAAAGCUGCGAGGGAGGCAGGGUCGGCAAAGGGAGCACCUUGGGAAAGGAGGAGGCACGCGAAGAGCUCCCGGUCUCACGGGGCAAGAGGUGUGGCGUGUGCGGUAUGGAGGGCUGAUCGUAGGAGCGGAGACACCACAGCCAGAGGGUUUAAAAGCGGGGCCCCUCAGCGGCCAGCAGGAAAAGGGGCCACAAUGCAUGCAGUGAAACAGAGGAAACACGGCGGUCUCGCACAUUCAGAGGGGCUCUGCACAGAAACCACCAGCAGGUCACCUCAGGGACUCAGGAUGGGUUCAGGUGGAUGGAGUGCAGUGUGGGGGUAGCAGAUGUGUGAGUAAAGAUGGUGAAGGAGUUAAGUGUGAAUCGAGGCGAAGGUGACAUUUCACUAUUACCGAAUGCAUGCUUCUGUUCCGGGGGGGGGGGGGCUGACAACGGUGGCGGUCUGGCAUACAGAGCCUCCGCACAGGAAGCAGGGUGCGAGAGGAUGCUCAAAACCAGUGAGUAUCAUAGGGUCUGGUCUGAGAAGACGGCGUGCACAGCAGCGGGCCCCAGAGAGAAAGGAGUGGGAUGCCGAGGGCUUGGGGGGUGGUGCUCACGAUGCUUGAUCAGGUGGACAAAAGAAGGGGCCGCGCAGAACGCGAGGGAGAGCGAUGGG